GGAUAUAUAGCUCAGUGGUAGAGCACGUGUUCAGCACGCAUGAGGUCCUGGGUUCAAUCCCCAGUACCUCCA
rfam:Camelus ferus unplaced genomic scaffold scaffold394, whole genome shotgun sequence.